rnacentral:rRNA from 1 species
CAGUUUUAACGGGUGGUAAAUUAUAUCUUAACCUAAAUNCCUGCCAGAGACCGAUAGCGCACAAGUGGAGUGNUCGAAAAGAGAAAAGCACNUUAGAAAGAGAGUCAACAGUUGNNNGAAAUUGUUGAAAGGGAAGCGCUUGCAAUCAGACUCGUUUGCAGAAGCUCAGCUUUCCUACGGGAUGGUGUAUUCUUCUGUCAACGGGCCAGCAUCAGUUUUGGCGGUUGGAUAAAAAUUUUNGGAAUGUAGCUCUUCUCGGAGAGUGUUAUAGCCCGGAAUGUAAUGCAGCAGCCGAGACUGAGGUCCGCGAUUUUGCUAGGAUGUUGGCGUAAUGGUUGCU